rnacentral:rRNA from 1 species
GAAGCGGCAAUUGCUCAAAUUUGAAAUCUGGUCCCCCUUGGGGCCCGAAUUGUAAUUUGCAGAGGAUGCUUCGGUGAGGACGCUGGCCCAAGUCCCCUGGAACGGGACGUCAUAGAGGGUGAGAACCCCGUCCGGCCGCGCGACCAAACCAUGUGUUGCUCCUUCGACGAGUCGAGUUGUUUGGGAAUGCAGCUCAAAAUGGGUGGUAAAUUCCAUCUAAGGCUAAAUACUGGCCAGAGACCGAUAGCGCACAAGUAGAGUGAUCGAAAGAUGAAAAGCACUUUGAAAAGAGAGUUAAAAAGCACGUGAAAUUGUUGAAAGGGAAGCGCUUGCUGCCAGACCCUUCCGUGACUGCUCAAUCGGCCUCGGCCGACUCAAUCUUUCACGGCUAGGGCCAGCAUCGGUUUAGGUGGUUGGAUAAAGGCCCUGGGAAUGUGACCCUUCGGGGUGUUAUAGCCCUGGGUGCAAUGCGACCUGCUUAGACCGAGGGAAGCGAUUUUUUCCAGGAUGCUGGCUUAAUGGUUGCAAGCGGCCCGUCUUGAAACACGGACCAAGGAGUCUAACAUUCACGCGAGUGUUUGGGUUUUAAACCCGUCCGCGAAAUGAAAGUGAACGUAGGUGGGAGCCUUUCGGGGUGCACCAUCGACCGAUCCUGAUGUUUUCGGA